UACAGAGGUCUCAAGCGUUGUUCGGAUUCAUUGGGCGUAAAGGGCGCGUAGGCGGCGGGGUAAGUCGGGUGUGAAAUCUCAGAGCUCAACUCUGAAACUGCACUCGAUACUGCUCUGCUUGAGGACUGGAGAGGAGACUGGAAUUCACGGUGUAGCAGUGAAAUGCGUAGAUAUCGUGAGGAAGACCAGUGGCGAAGGCGGGUCUCUGGGCCGUAACUGACGCUGAGGAGCGAAAGCAUGGGGAGCGAACAGG
rnacentral:rRNA from 1 species